GUGUCUUUGCAGAUAUGGAUUCCUGUUCUCAGAAUUUCUUGACAAUUUCCAAAUCUUCUAGAGGCCCAGGAAAGGCCUUGUUCUAGUCAUUCGCAUGGACUGGCUAAGGCAAUCUUUUAACACAUUUCUUAUGAUUCACUGAAGUCUGUGACUGAAAUGAAAUAGAAAGAAAUAGACUACCAAAAUUGAUAAUGUUAAGAUUGACAGGUGUGCUAAGAAAGCAAGUCACAGUUGGACCUAGAAGUCAUCAGCCAAAGAAAGUCAUUGAAUCCAAAAAAUGCUGCUAACAUCAAAUUGAACAGCUUUCUUAUGUUAGUAACUGUGCUGGAAAAUAACAAGUGAACAGCCAUUCAUGGAGUUGAACAGUUUCCAGUCUAACAUGGCAACAUAGGAAGGCCCUGAACUCACCUCCUGGAUGAAACACACCACCUUAUAACUAUACAAUAAUUCCUCCUGAAGAAGAAUUGAAGGCACAUUAAACAUCUUCUACACAACUAAAGAUAGAAUAGCAAAAGAGAACAAGAGACACUGUAACAAAGGAAACUCCAAAGCAGUGGAAUGGUCAUAGGGAGGGAUAGCAUUGAGCAACCAGGCAUAGAUUCCUCUGUCUCUGGAAAUAGGAAAAUAGCCACAGUUUAAAAGAGCAACUAGCACAAGAAAGACAAAACUAGAACUACACCAAGCAAUACAAAGUGCUACAAGAACACGCUCCAGGUAUCAGGGAGUGGAGGGGGGUGAGAAACUGUUACUACCCCACCUUAAAAGCCUAGACUAGAGUGGGGUCCAGAUGCCAUUAUCAACAGAUCUGGUGCUCAGUGUGAGUUGGCAAACACUGUGAGCCCAGAGUUCUCAAGCCCACACCAUCCUUUGUGGUGCUGGAACAUAGAAAAUAAACCAUGGGUUGUUUUAUCUUUUGUAUUAUGUAUGAAUUAAAAAUUAUAAAUUUUGUUUUUUUU